rnacentral:pre_miRNA from 1 species
AGCCAGACUGGGGCCCUCUCUUGUUAUCAGUGGGAGUAAGUGCUUUCUAGUUUGGUUAU